AUAAUUUGACAGUUUGAGAGUUCAGCUAUUGUGAUUCAGCUGAUGAGUUUCAAAUAAAAUCAAACACAAAACUUCCGAGUCAAUUCUUUGUGCGGCAAGACAAUCGAGUUAAGUAGAACUUUUUCUGGUGCUACAGUAACAAAGCAUCCCAAAAUUGUAAUCGAAGGAUUCAACUUGCCGUCGCUGUUGAACAAAGGGGCUGUUGAACAUUUGGCAAAGGGCUUAUUUGGAUCUGGAUCGCUUUGAGUUCCUUCAAUUCGAGCCCAGCUUCCAAUUUUAGAAUUGCGGCCAACUUUAACAAAAAUAAAUAUACAAUUUAUGGUCACAUUCAAUGUUCAAACUAUUUUAACACGAUGAAAUAAAAAUAUUGCGAGAUAUGUUCAACCACUAACCGA